rnacentral:misc_RNA from 1 species
GAUGAAGAACGUAGCGAAAUGCGAUAAGUAAUGUGAAUUGCAGAAUUCAGUGAAUCAUCGAAUCUUUGAACGCACAUUGCGCCCGCCAGUAUUCUGGCGGGCAUGCCUGUUCGAGCGUCAUUACAACCCUCAGGCCCCCGGGCCUGGCGUUGGGGAUCGGCGGAAGCCCCCCUGCGGGCACAACGCCGUCCCCCAAAUACAGUGGCGGUCCCGCCGCAGCUUCCAUUGCGUAGUAGCUAACACCUCGCAACUGGAGAGCGGCGCGGCCACGCCGUAAAACACCCAACUUCUGAAUGUUGACCUCGAAUCAGGUAGGAAUACCCGCUGAACUUAAGCAUAUCAAUAAGCGGAGGA